UGCAGAUGUCUCCUUGUGCUUCCUCGUGCUCCCUGUGUCAUCCUGGUUUGUCUUUUCAGUUUACUUUUUACCUUUUGUAUUUUUGUUAUUUAGUAAGUUAUUUGGAAUAAAGCCAUCUUUUUGUUAAUCUCCUCGUCUGCCAUCUUGCAUUUGAGUCCUCACCUUUUCCCCACCGUGACAGUACGAUCUGACCAGAAACAUGGACUCAGCAGAUGUCAUGGACGAGGAGACCUAUGAUUUAAUAUACACUUUAAUUAUAUUGUUUGGUGAGUGGAAGCGAAACCCCUGUUGGAGGAUGCGACAGGCGCCUGGAUUGGCGAGAAAAGAGGUUGCUAAGAGGCCAGAGUUGAAGAGCCGUUUACCUGAGUGGCUUCAGGAUUUUGUGGACACUCCACCUUGCCAGCCUAACCCUGCCGAUCCUUCCACUCAACUUCCUUUUGCCGAGCUGCGGCAACCCCCUUCUCCAGUCGGGCUGCACCAGACCCCAGUUCCUGAGCCAUUUCUGGGCACUCGCCUGGCCCUGGGAGGUCCUCGGAGUCUCCAGGGGACUUCCAGGUCUCGGCGCAAGAGACCCAGACCACGGCAGACUCCUGUUUCCGCUGCCGGGCCGCGACAGCCCCCCGUUUCUGCUGCCGGGCCGUGGCAGCCACAGCCCCCCGUUUCUGCUGCCAGGCCGUGACAGCCCCCCGUUUCUACUGCCGGGCCGCGAAAGCCCACCGUUUCUGCUGCCGGGCCGCAACAGCCUCCAGUUCCCGCUGCCGGACCUCCACAGACUCCCGCUGCCGGACCGUUACAGACCCCCGUCCCCGCUGCCGGAUCUCUGCAGUGCUGUGCUGCUUUUGCCCCCUAAGACCCCUGUGCUCCCUCCGUCCCAUGUGACCCCAGCCCCUGUGCUCCCUCAGUCCCUCGAGACCCCAGCCCCUUCGCUCCCCUCUCCUCUCCAGACCCUAGUGCUUUCUCCAGCCCGGCCUCUUGAGCGGCUCCUCCCGCAUCCAGUCCGGCCUUUCCGACAGCCUCCUGAGCAGGUCCGCCUGCAUCCAGCCCGGACUCCUGAGCGGCUCUGCCCGCCUCCCCACCGGCCUCCUGAGCAGCCCCAUCAGCAUCCAGCAUGGCCUCCUGAGCGUCUCCGCCGGCCUCCUGAGCGGCUCCACCAGCAUCCAGCCCGGCCUCCUGAGCGUCUCCGCUGGUCUCCAGCGCGGCCUCCUCACCGGCCUCCUGAGCGGCUCUGCCCGCCUCCCUACCGGCCUCCUGAGUGUCUCCGCCCGCAUCCAGCCCGACCUCCUGAGCAUCUCCGCCGGCUUCCUGAGCUGCUUCGCCGGCCUCCUGCCCAGCCCUCCUUGUUUGCCCCUUGUGCUUCCUCGUGCUCCCUGUGUCAUCCUGGUUUGUCUUUUCAG
rnacentral:lncRNA from 1 species